UACGUAGGUGGCAAGCGUUGUCCGGAAUUAUUGGGCGUAAAGCGCGCGCAGGCGGUUAUGUAAGUCUGAUGUUAAAGCCCGGGGCUCAACCUCGGUUCGCAUUGGAAACUGUGUAACUUGAGUGCAGAAGAGGAAAGUGGUAUUCCACGUGUAGCGGUGAAAUGCGUAGAGAUGUGGAGGAACACCAGUGGCGAAGGUGACUUUCGGGUCUGUAACUGACGCUGAGGCGCGAAAGCGUGGGGAGCAAACAGG
rnacentral:rRNA from 1 species